UAAUCAAGGUGUUUGUGGUCCAGGUCCCAUCAGAGUGUAAUCAAGGUGUUUAUGGUUCAGGUCCCAUCAGAGUGUAAUCAAGGUGUUUAUGGUUCAGGUCCCAUCAGAGUGUAAUCAAGGUGUUUAUGGUUCAGGUCCCAUCAGAGUGUAAUCAAGGUGUUUAUGGUUCAGGUCCCAUCAGAGUGUAAUCAAGGUGUUUAUGGUCCAGGUCCCAUCAGAGUGUAAUCAAGGUGUUUGUGGUUCAGGUCCCAUCAGAGUGUAAUCAAGGUGUUUAUGGUUCAGGUCCCAUCAGAGUGUAAUCAAGGUGUUUGUGGUUCAGGUCCCAUCAGAGUGUAAUCAAGGUGUUUGUGGUUCAGGUCCCAUCAGAGUGUAAUCAAGGUGUUUGUGGUUCAGGUCCCAUCAGAGUGUAAUCAAGGUGUUUGUGGUUCAGGUCCCAUCAGAGUGUAAUCAAGGUGUUUGUGGUUCAGGUCCCAUCAGAGUGUAAUCAAGGUGUUUGUGGUUCAGGUCCCAUCAGAGUGUAAUCAAGGUGUUUGUGGUUCAGGUCCCAUCAGAGUGUAAUCAAGGUGUUUGUGGUUCAGGUCCCAUCAGAGUGUAAUCAAGGUGUUUGUGGUUCAGGUCCCAUCAGAGUGUAAUCAAGGUGUUUGUGGUUCAGGUCCCAUCAGAGUGUAAUCAAGGUGUUUGUGGUCCAGGUCCCAUCAGAGUGUAAUCAAGGUGUUUAAGGUUCAGGUCCCAUCAGAGUGUAAUCAAGGUGUUUAUGGUUCAGGUCCCAUCAGAGUGUAAUCAAGGUGUUUAUGGUCCAGGUCCCAUCAGAGUGUAAUCAAGGUGUUUGUGGUUCAGGUCCCA